GUGGCGGUCCAGGCUGGCGCGAGGGGAUUGGACGGGAAGGAUGGGGUGAGGGUGACUCGGAUGGUUUUGGUUCAUCCUUAUUUCGGGGCGGAGCAACCCGACGUGUUUAUACAGUACAUGUGGCCGAAGACUCCGGGUACGAAGGAGGACCCGAUGCUGCACCCGGCAGGGGAUUCGGAGGUGGGGAAGAUGAAGGUUGGGAAGGUGUUGGUUUGCGUGGCGGAGAAAGA
rnacentral:lncRNA from 1 species